CACGCAGGCGGUCCUUCAAGUCGGAUGUUAAAUCUCCCGGCUUAACUGGGAGCUGUCAUUCGAUACUGCUGGACUUGAGGACAGUAGAGGGAGGUGGAAUUCCCGGUGUAGUGGUGAAAUGCGUAGAUAUCGGGAGGAACACCAGUGGCGAAAGCGGCCUCCUAGGCUGUUUCUGACGCUGAGGUGCGAAAGCGUGGGGAGCGAACAGGAUUAGAUACCCUGGUAGUCCACGCUGUAAACUAUGGACACUAGGUACAGGGAGUAUCGACCCUUCCUGCGCCGUAGCUAACGCGUUAAGUGUCCCGCCUGGGGACUACGGUCGCAAGACUAAA
rnacentral:rRNA from 1 species